GACGAACGCUGGCGGCGUGCCUAAUACAUGCAAGUCGAGCGAAUCAAUAGGAGCUUGCUCCUGUUGGUUAGCGGCGGACGGGUGAGUAACACGUGGGCAACCUGCCUGUAAGACUGGGAUAACACCGGGAAACCGGUGCUAAUACCGGAUAAUCCUUUUUCUCUCAUGAGGGAACGCUGAAAGUCGGUUUCGGCUGACACUGAGAGAUGGGCCCGCGGCGCAUUAGCUAGUUGGGUAGGUAAGGGCUCACCAAGGCGAAGAUGCGGAGCCGACCUGAGAGGGUGAUCGGCCACACUGGGACUGAGACACGGCCCAGACUCCUACGGGAGGCAGUAGUAGGGAAUCUUCCACAAUGGACGAAAGUCUGAUGGAGCAACGCCGCGUGAGCGAUGAAGGCCUUCGGGUCGUAAAGCUCUGUUGUUAGGGAAGAACAAGUACCGGAGUAACUGCCGGUACCUUGACGGUACCUAACCAGAAAGCCACGGCUAACUACGUGCCAGCAGCCGCCGUAAGAC
rnacentral:rRNA from 1 species